AGCGAACGCUGGCGGCAGGCCUAACACAUGCAAGUCGAACGAACCUUUCGGGGUUAGUGGCGGACGGGUGAGUAACACGUGGGAACGUGCCUUUAGGUUCGGAAUAACUCAGGGAAACUUGUGCUAAUACCGAAUGUGCCCUUCGGGGGAAAGAUUUAUCGCCUUUAGAGCGGCCCGCGUCUGAUUAGCUAGUUGGUUGAGGUAAUGGCUCACCAAGGCGACGAUCAGUAGCUGGUCUGAGAGGAUGAUCAGCCACAUUGGGACUGAGACACGGCCCAAACUCCUACGGGAGGCAGCAGUGGGGAAUCUUGCGCAAUGGGCGAAAACCUGACGCAGCCAUGCCGCGUGAAUGAUGAAGGUCUUAGGAUUGUAAAAUUCUUUCACCGGGGACGAUAAUGACGGUACCCGGAGAAGAAGCCCCGGCUAACUUCGUG
rnacentral:rRNA from 1 species